UCGGAUCCAUGUAACCCGGGGACUGACUGUAUAUCACAUCAUGGAAUGGGCAACCCAAAUACCUUGAGAGAACCUGCUUUAAUACAGAAAUUCCCACCCACACUCUCUCCCUCUCCUUCCCCCCCCUCCCCCCUUCCUUCCUCCUAGUUAUCUAUCCCCUCACAUUGAAAUUCAUACAGGAUCUCAGACUACAACCCAUAUUCGAAGGGGACCACAUCCUGAAAGAAGUCUUUCAGAAAUCCCCACUUCUGCUCUUCAGACAACUCUUCAAGCUCAUCAUAAGCAAGCUUAAGUAGACAAGGACGCACCGAUUCAAAGUAGGGAUAUUAAAUAGUGGUUAAGAAGCUAAGCAAGUAGUCGAUAAGGAGGUUUGCUGCAGCUCUGCUUUUUAAAGGCCUGGUCCAAGAUCCUGUACCUCUGCUUUUAAAGUCAGGCAGCUCUUACUACAUUUAAAAAGCAGAGCCAGUGUCUGGGACUGCUCAGUCCUGGCUCGUGCCGUUUCCCCCUCUGCACCUCUGCCUCCCCUGUGGAGAUGGUGCUGAGGGGAACCAGCUUUUAAGAUGGCUCUUCUCCCCCCUACCCCCCAUUUGCUGCCUGUGGUACAGAGGCAGUCAGAAAGGGGAAACAACUAGCUGAGUAAUGACUCAACUACACAAUAAGCUUAGGCUUAUUGGGUAGUUGACUAGUCGCUUACGUCCCUAAUUCACAAUGGUACCAGACCUUUCUAGAACAAAUGUAAAACUCUAUAUCUCUACCACAACAGAGACCUACUUCCCUGUGCCUGCACCCCCCACGCAUAACAGAUCUUUCAAGAUCCAUGAAUCCCACAUGUACUUAUCACAACAUAUUAUGUAUCUCAUCCAGUACACUCACUGCCCUGAUAACUCAUGGGUAAAACUACACUAUUGCUGUGCUUUCAAAUAAAUUCACAUAGGAAAUAAGACAAACUGAAAACCCAUGGACUGAACAAACACUAGCUCUAGCUUAUAACCGCUUGUAACCUGCUAACCGCCUCUUAUGACUGCAGAGGUGUUAACCUAAGGGAUGAUUCAAGGUAAAAUAAUUUCUUAAGCAGUUAGCAUAUAUACUAAUCUAUCUGUUCCACCUUGAAUUUUGCUGGGAGGACUGCCUUUCCCAGACCUGAAAAAGAGCUCUACGUUGCCUGAAAGUCCCUCUCAUUAGCCGAAGUUGGUCCAAUAAAAGACUACCUCCUCCAUCUUUCGGGUUUCGGUGAAUGGUACCAGAAUAUAGUGAGAACUGUAUGGAAUGCAGUAGUAAUGUGAUAUCUGUUAAAAUUAUCUAAAACACUUGUUUGAAUUACAAAACUUUUGUACUCUGUAUAAGAUUACCAAAUGUUAUCAAUUGAAAGCAUAUUCAUCAAACUUCAAAUCUGAAAAUCUUAAUCAGAUUUAUCAGCAUGUUAGCUGUAGAUUUUAAGUUUGAUUUCAUAUAUUUUUUUUUCUGAUAUGGCAUGACAUCCCAGUGGUCUGUAUUCACCUCCACUCAUUAGAUAAUGUUCCUUCUACUGCCUACUUGUCUCUUCCAUAACAUAAGCAAUUGGAGCCUGCCUGAGAACUUUAGUUGGUAGAAUGAAUCUAAUUCUUGCAAGAUUUGUUUUAGAUAGCUUAUUGACUUUAACCGUUUUCCUCCCCUUCCCUUUGACAGGUGGUUGAAGAUGGAUAUGAAUUCUUUGCUAAACGACAGUUGGUUACCCUAUUUUCGGCUCCAAAUUACUGCGGCGAGUUUGAUAAUGCUGGAGGCAUGAUGAGUGUGGAUGAAACUUUGAUGUGUUCCUUUCAGAUAUUGAAACCAUCUGAAAAGAAAGCCAAGUACCAGUAUGGUGGAUUGAAUUCUGGACGUCCAGUCACUCCACCUCGUACAGCUAAUCCACCAAAGAAGAGGUGAAGAAAGGAACUAUGUCAAAACAUCAGAUCUAUCAAGGACAAAACUCCAUAUUACAGUAUAUAAUAAGUGUGCACUGUAAAACCAUCCAGCCAUUUGACACCCUUUAUGAUGUCACACGUUUAACUUAAAGAGACGGGUAAAGGAUCUUUACUAAUUUUUUUCUAGUAGAAAGAUGUGCGACACUGUAUUGUAACAAGUAUAGCUCCAAGUUCUAAUAUCCAACAUAGAGUAAAAUCCAGAUGAAAAAAAUCUAUUAAAUUACAUGUUCACUUAUCACAGUUUUUAAAGUUGACCAACAUCCCAGUUAAAACUUAAUGUAAUACUUAAACCAGAUGAGAGCAUGAUGUUCAAUUUGUGUAAUGUGGUCUUAUUGUUGCUUGAUUGCUUUUACUUUGGUUAUUUUGUAGCUAGAAUGAUGCAAAUAUGGUAUUUAGUCAUGUUCCCUGGCUUGCUUCCAGUGAAAUACGGAAGGGGCUUUUUAGGACAGCCACUGAUUUCUUUCCCCAAUCUUUGUAAUCUUGCUAACGUAAAUGUGUGCCCCAUUGUAACAAAGGUGAUAGUAUGAUAGUGAAUAAAAAAGGCAAACAGUAUCUAUAUUAGUGACCCAGAAAAGCACCCUGACUGCAAACCAUGACAGUCAACAUUGAAAGACAGAAAAUUCUCUCUUCCUUUUUAACUUAAAUUGCCACAGGACAAAUUUGCGCACUACAUUGUUUUAAAUUAUUGACAUGACACCGUGCAAUGGCACUUCACUUAAGACAAAAAUGGUAUUGCCUUUAGUUGGUAACGUGAUUGUGGUACCUUGGCUUUAGGUUUUAUUAGCACGAAAACACCUUUGGCAUGCUUAGCUUCCCAGUAACAUCCUGUCUGCAUCAAAAUGCAUCUUGCAUAGCUCCACAAAACAUGAAGAUCCUUAUUUGAUAAGCCUUGGAAAGCUGAAUUUUUUUCAUAAGAGGGUGUAUUUAAAUGGGUGUUGAUCAGUGAACAGUAGGUUAACUGACUGGUGGUUGAACUGUCUAAUAUUGCCAUGUGAAUGUUCUACAUGAUUGUAAGGCUUAUGUCAGUUAAGAUUAUAUCCUGGAUUUUCAUGAUCAAAGUUCAUAUAUUGUAUAGACUUUUGCUUUGUAGUGUACUAUAGUAGCAAUAAUUUCUGUACAUGAUCAAGAGUUAUGUAGUAUUUCUUUUCCUGUUCUCUUCUUUCUUAAAGUUCAUAUUGACAAGUGGCAAGGUAUAGGGAAGUCACAAAGAUAGUAGUGGAGUAAAAAUUGUUAGACACGGAUUUCUGAUAUUAGUAUGUAACACUAUUGGGUAUGAUUAUAAAAGUUUUUAUCGAAUAUGGCAAAUUUUGUAAGAUCCUUUGAGGGAAGAUUUCAGAUUUAUACCAUUCUAAAUGCAACAGUGGAUAUAAAACUUGGCUUCAAUAUUGUCUUUGAAAAUGUUAACUUGAGGAUUCUGGCAACAUACACUUUAUGAACUGGCACAGUUUAUAAUGCAAGAGAAUGAUUUCUGACAGUGAAAAAGUUCUUUAAAAUGGAUUUCUUUUUUCUAAUUCCAUUUUGUUUUAAUGCAUAUUUUAAAUGUAGUUUUUCAUUUAGUAAAAGUUGUCUAAUUGAUUUGAA